rnacentral:antisense_RNA from 1 species
ACCCCACGGAAAAUGCUCUGCCGGCGAAAGCGGCUGGCAAUGGAGUUGGUUUCAAGGCAGGGAAGAGCCAUCGCGCUGCCUUCCUCGGCUGGGAUGGCGAGACAGGGCUGGCACGACUCACUCUGUCCGGUGCUCAGAAAACCGGUAACCGCGGGCCCGAGGCGCUGCUCGCUGCCGUUUUUUGGCCUUGGGUUCCGUCGAGUGGAUCCAGCUUGUCAGUGUUUGUGUAGAUUUGGCUGCGUUCGCUCCGCACUUCGGAGGAGGUGGCGUUUCAUGGGAAGAAAUGCGCUCUAGUAGAUGGCCGCCGUGGCCAGUCAGCCCUGCUGUCACCGACGAAGACGCGGGCCACAGACCUGGACUCUAAAGAAACCUGCACAGACGUGACCCGCGCUCUCGGCCUUCCCAGCUCCGCGGCCGCAGCGACGCCGGUGAGGAUGUCGGCCCUGUGGGAGCGGCACCCUUCCUGGUGCGGGGCCCCAACCCACGACCUGGAACAGCAGCUGGCCCGUGGCAAAUGCUGAGCACAUCUCCUGAAAGAAUGGCUUCGCCGGUCCCUAGAGAAUGCACCCGAGUUUUGUGGUAUAUACACAUACGUACUCUUUUUUUUCCAAGUAUAUUUUAUUUUUUGGCAAACAUGGCCCUUUGUGAUCGCCGUGUUUCUCUCCUCCCAUCCAUUAUACAAUACUAAAUGAUUCGUCAUUCUUUGAACAAAUCAAACUGUGUCACACCUGCCAUGCAUUUGUACCGACCGUGCCUUCCCCUCUACUGCCGCAGCCCCCCAGGCAGAAGCCUUUUUAUACUUCAAAAAUUCCCACCCAGGCAAAUUUCAAGCACCUUACCCCCUACCCCUUCCCACUCUGCCUAUCUCUAAUUGCGCUGGUCUGAACCCGCACAACUGUCUACGUCGUUUCUGCACUGCGUAACAGCUUAUAUGACAGUUGCUCCAGCCAUUCUGUGAACUCCUAAGGGGAAGGGCCAGGUUUUGCUAGUCAUUUUAUUUCUAAUGUCUAUCAUCUGGUAGAUGUUUAAUAAAUGCUAAGUUGAAUAA